GAUGAGCGCUGGCGGCGUACCUAAUACAUGCAAGUCGAGCGAAUGGAUUAAGAGCUUGCUCUUAUGAAGUUAGCGGCGGACGGGUGAGUAACACGUGGGUAACCUGCCCAUAAGACUGGGAUAACUCCGGGAAACCGGGGCUAAUACCGGAUAACAUUUUGAACCGCAUGGUUCGAAAUUGAAAGGCGGCUUCGGCCGUCAAUUAUGGAUGGACCCGCGUCGCAUUAGCUAGUUGGGUAGGUAACGGCUCACCAAGGCAACGAUGCGUAGCCGACCUGAGAGGGUGAUCGGCCACACUGGGACUGAGACACGGCCCAGACUCCUACGGGAGGCAGCAGUAGGGAAUCUUCCGCAAUGGACGAAAGUCUGACGGAGCAACGCCGCGUGAGUGAUGAAGGCUUUCGGGUCGUAAAGCUCUGUUGUUAGGGAAGAACAAGUGCUAGUUGAAUAAGCUGGCACCUUGACGGUACCUAACCAGAAAGCCACGGCUAACUACGUGCCAGCAGCCGCAGUAA
rnacentral:rRNA from 1 species